AACGUAGGUGGCGAGCGUUAUCCGGAUUCAUUGGGCGUAAAGAGCUUGUAGGCGGCGUCAUAAGUUGGACGUGAAAACUCCGGGCUUAACUUGGAGAGGCCGUUCAAUACUGUGAGGCUGGAGGGUGUCAGAGGGAAGUAGAAUGUCUGGUGUAGCAGUGAAAUGCGUAGAUAUCAGACGGAAUACCCGUGGCGAAGGCGGCUUCCUGGGGCACUCCUGACGCUGAGAAGCGAAAGCUAGGGGAGCAAACGGG
rnacentral:rRNA from 1 species